AGAACGAUGAUAUCAGUGCAAACAGAUAUAUGGCUCUUGACCCCAGGUCCAGAUCUUCUGACCAGUACAACACACUCACAACUGUCCAUCCCACACCUGCUGUUCAUCAGUCUGGCUCUGCUGAAUAUCAGAAUCAGUCACCACACAGCGAGACGCCGCAGUAAGAUGAAGCACAAGUUAAACUUCACUCAACUUUUGUCUCAUCGCUGGACACCCAC